GCUGAAAUAACUCAGUUCGGAGAGCCUUAGACUGAAAAUCUAAAGGUUCCUGGUUCGAUCCCAGGUUUCAGCA